UCCCAGGCAGACAACAUAAAUGGUUUAUUCG
rnacentral:piRNA from 1 species